rnacentral:rRNA from 1 species
AGAGUUUGAUCCUGGCUCAGGAUGAACGCUAGCUACAGGCUUAACACAUGCAAGUCGAGGGGAAACGACAUCGAAAGCUUGCUUUUGAUGGGCGUCGACCGGCGCACGGGUGAGUAACGCGUAUCCAACCUGCCCACCACUUGGGGAUAACCUUGCGAAAGUAAGGCUAAUACCCAAUGAUAUCUCUAGAAGACAUCUGAAAGAGAAUUAAAGAUUUAUCGGUGAUGGAGUGGGGAUGCGUCUGAUUAGCUUGUUGGCGGGGUAACGGCCCACCAAGGCAACGAUCAGUAGGGUUCUGAGAGGAACGGUCCCCCACAUUGGAACUGAGACACGGUCCAAACUCCUACGGGAGGCAGCA